CCACCUCUCGGUUAUCUCCCAUACUAAAAUUAAAACGAAAAAAUAAUUUUAUAAAAUAAGGAAUAUAUUACUCUCACUUCUUCCUAGGAAGAUGUACUAAUUAUGACAAAGGACAGAGUGGCAGUUCUUUUGGGAGAUAUCUGAAACUUUAAUUCAAGGUUUAAGGUAACAAGCUCAUUGUGCCUUUCAGUAAACUGAGUUGGUCAUUAUGUUGACCACACACCUACAUAAAAGUUGGCAACAAAAAGAAGAAUUGGGUUUUGAAUAUGGAGAGGGGUGGGGUGGGGGGACUGUUACACUAAUGUAGAUAUCACUUCACUUACGUAUAAUAGGUCAUGUUGGCUGCC